UGUUUAGCUAAUCAAUAACUGCAUUUCUUUAUUUUUACUGGAUUCUAGAUUGUUUGACCCUUUCCAAUAAUUAAUGUCAUUUCAUUUUACAAAUUGUUGGUAAUUUUAUGUCAUUAAUGAAUACAUUAUUGCAUUUCCCCUUUAUAUUUAGAUUAAGAUUUUGUGCUUAGUCCAGAAAGCCAUAGUAGGUUACGUAGACUGUACUUUACAGCUACAUAUAAAGAUUUUGUGCUUAGUCCAGAAAGCCAUAGUAGGUUAUGUAGACUGGUAGUUUACAGUUACAUAUAAGAUUUUGUGCUUAGUCCAAAAAGCCAUAGUAGGUUAUGUAGACUGAUACUUUACAGCUACAUGUAAGUAAUAUUGACGAUUUAAUGUACUAGUACUAGUAUGUUCCUCUGGCCAUGUCAUGCAUACUUCCUUUAUUUCAUCAGAUUUAUUUAUUUAUUUUUUUUUCACCAAUAUUAUCCAAAUGGUAAUGUUGUUUAAUGGUACAGUAACUGCUUAUUAAUUAUUAUUAUUAUUAUUACUAUUACAAUUCAUGGCUAUUUAUUUUGUUUUAAUCCUUAUUUUCAUUACAACACCCUUUUCUUCACCAUUAUUUGCUUCGCUAAUUAUAUCCUGUUCGGCAUCACAAAUUAUAUAUUGGUACCUUAAUCUUUUGUCUAACGGACAUUAUGAAGCACCUUAUACCAUGCAUAC